GUAGAUAUUUGUUGACAAAAGCAAAUCACACAUGUGAAGUCCGGAAUGGACUUAAAAGCAUGAACCAUGAAUAUCACAUUUUUCAGAGCAUAAAACAUGCUUCACAAAUAGUACUACUUUACAUAAUUUUCAGAGCAUGAACCACUUAGAAAACUGAAGGAACAAAUUAUAAAAGAAGAUCAAACAAACAGUUUUUCCAGCAGCGACUGCAUCCCUAAUACACAAAACAUGAGUAUUCGGAAGACAUGAUGUCGGUCAUAGCCAGAAGAGUGGCAUCCCAAGAACUAAACUGUGCUACCAAAGAAAGACAGAGAAGUGUCCAUGCAGGGGCAGACCCACAAGUUAUGCCGGGUGGGCCCUUCAUAGCACCUUUGUUGGAGAAGGCCAGUGAUGAUUUUCUACUGGGAUGUGAUUGUAACAGGCAGAGGGCCUUGACCAUUCAAAAAAAGAUGGAUAGAAAGGGGGGCUUGAGCCGCAGCAGAGGGUUGACGAGUGCAGGCCUGGACAUGUCCUCCCUGCCUCAUUUCUGAGUUCUGAUGAUACAAACAUGCAGAGAAGCAGAGGGCCAAAGAUAAAUGGGGGAUCG
rnacentral:lncRNA from 1 species